AAUAUUGCGCAAUGGGGGGAACCCUGACGCAGCAACGCUGCGUGAGCGAUGAAGGCCUACGGGACGUAAAGCUCUGUCGAUAGGGAUGAUAGUGACAGUACCUCUGGAGGAAGCCCCGGCUAACUACGUGCCAGCAGCCGCGGUAAUACGUAGGGGGCAAGCGUUGUCCGGAUUUACUGGGCGUAAAGGGGGCGUAGGCGGUAGAUUAAGUCAGAUGUGAAAGUCCAGGGCUCAACACUGGAAUUGCAUUUGAAACUGUGUAGCUUGAGUGCAGGAGAGGAAAGUGGAAUUCCUAGUGUAGCGGUGAAAUGCGUAGAGAUUAGGAGGAACACCAGUGGCGAAGGCGACUUUCUGGACUGUAGCUGACGCUGAGGUACGAAAGCGUGGGUAGCGAACA
rnacentral:rRNA from 1 species